ACUUCACACUGCGGGAAACUGUGAUGAGGGAACUCCUAGUGCAUGCACUAUGUGUAUGUAGAUCCUACUCUUAACAAGUAGAGGGAAAGGGCUGGGAAAGACCGGUGCCAGCCGCCGCGGUAAUACCGGCAGCUCAAGUGGUCGUCGCUUUUAUUGGGCCUAAAACGUCCGUAGCCUGUUUGGUAAAUCUGUGGGUAAAUCAACCUGCUCAACGGGUUGAAUUCUGCAGAGACUGCCAGACUAGGGACCGGGAGAGGUGUGGGGUACUCGAGGGGUAGGGGUAAAAUCCUGUCAUCCUUCGAGGACCACCAGUUGCGAAGGCGCCACACUGGAACGGAUCCGACGGUCAGGGACGAAGCCUAGGGGCACGAACCGGAUUAGAUACCCGCGUAGU
rnacentral:rRNA from 1 species